rnacentral:misc_RNA from 1 species
GUGGGAGCUGGCUUGCCUGCGAUAGCGGUGGGCCAGCCAGCAAAUUCUUGGCUGACACACUGCAAUCGCAGGCAAGCCAGCUCCCAC